UUCCUGGGUAAGGGUGUCGUCUCUGAGAACCAGAAGAACCUGUGAGGAUAUUUUCCUUUCUUGCGAAAAAGAGGUAACCGACCGACACAAGCUGACACUUGGAUCUUGCCAGACAGCCCGGAAAGGGGCCUUCAAGGGCGUCAAACAGGCGCAGACGUCGCGAGCGUGAUGACGACCGUGAUGACGUCAUCCCUUGCGUCAGACACCACGCGCGAAAUGGGCGUGUGCUUGCGUCCUCGGGCGUCUGAGACGUCUGGUGUUAUGUUGUCUGAGUUCUUUUCUGUGCUCCGAACUGCAGUUUGUGGGGAUGGUUACGUGGACACAAAAGCAAAAUUAUGGUGAAGAAAGCAUGUUGUACGGUUUAUAUGUCUUUCAAACGUUUUUCCCCUCAAUGCGUCGAAACACUACGCAUCUGCUGGUAGGCAUAUCUCAGAGAUAUUGCGGGUUCAGUUCCAGACCACUGCAAUAAAGAGUGCUUGACUUUUCUCCUGACUGCCGUCUGAAGUGCUCCAUCGUGUUGGAAACAGAGCAACGUGUCAGCAGUGCUGGCCUCUGGCGGCCCUCCUUGGUCAAGUUCCUGCCGCUGAGAAAGUCCUUUUAAUGGUUAUCAAAAUGCAGGGUACGGAGGCUUAAAACAGGCCAACAAGAAAGUGCAGAAACAAUCUACAGACUGGGAGAAUGUAUUUGCAGACACAUAGAGCUGAAGAAGAAAGUAGUAUUCAGAUUAAUCGUAUAAAACGAACAGAAAAAGACAAACAACCAAUGGGAAUACGGUCCAAACGCAUGAAAACACAUUUCACAGGAAGCAGAAACACAAAUGGUGAGUAAACAUACAAAAAGUUGCUCCCCUUGUUAGUAAUUAAGGAAAUGCAAAAAGAGACUGUAAUGACAUACCACAUAAACCCCACUGGAUUGGCUAAAACUAAGUCUUAUAAUCACAAGUCUCAAAGAUCAGUAGAAACUCUUACACACUGCUGGUGGGAUGAUAAUAUACACAACCGCUUGGACACAAUUUGAGAAUACCUUGCUAGUUGAAUGUUCACAUUCCCUAUAACUCAGCAGUUCUACUAGUAUGUACCCUACAACCACUUCUGCACAUGCACACAAGGAGCCAUCCGUAAGGACAUUCAUAGCAAGACUGAAACGGUAUUUCUACCUUCUUUCCUGCAUGCAUCGAAUAGAUGCAAAGUCUACCUCUCUGGGUGAAGUCACCUAGAAUUUUAGUUAUAUGCAUAACUCUUUAGGGAAGUGCUUAAAAAUUAACAAAGAAGAUUUUUGUAGAACUACUCACUCUUUUUUUAUUCUGGAUAAUUUUAACCUAUCAUCAGAUUCGCAAGUCACCUCUAAUAAAAUAUAAACUGAAGAUAGAUUUUUUUUUCUUCGUUGUCUAAGCUUUUCAAUUUUGUUCUCCUUUGCUAUUGUCUAGUUCCAAAAGGAGCAGCUUAGGAUGAAAUUUGUGGGAAGGAUGCUAUUCAGAGUUUAAUGUCAUUAUGUAGUAACCCAAUGAAAAUCCAGCAUAAAGAAUGUAGGUGUUUCUAGAAAAUGCUAAAA